rnacentral:rRNA from 1 species
GGGUCUGUCCAUCGGUCGGGCUUCACGGUCCGUACUGGUGAGAUGGGUUCCUACCUUCUGAAUAACCGGCAUGCCAUUCAGUUGGUGCGCCGGGGAAGCAGAGCUAUUACCUUGAAAAAUUAGAGUGCUUAAAGCAGGCUAGUGCUUGAAUAGAUUAGCAUGGAAUAAUAAAAUAGGACGGCAUGGUUCUAUUUUGUUGGUUUCUAGGAUCACCGUA